GAUUAUGGCUCAGGAUGAACGCUGGCGGCGUGCCUAACACAUGCAAGUCGAACGAAGCUUGGGGAACGGAGAUUCGUCGAAGAGAACCAAGACUAGUGGCGGACGGGUGAGUAAUGUAUGAGCAACCUGCCUUUCAGAGGGGGACAACAGUUGGAAACGACUGCUAAUACCGCGUAACGUAUGACGGGGGCAUCCCUGACAUACCAAAGGAGCAAUCCGCUGAAAGAUGGGCUCAUAUCUGAUUAGCUUGUUGGCGGGGUAACGGCCCACCAAGGCGACGAUCAGUAGCCGGACUGAGAGGUUGAACGGCCACAUUGGGACUGAGAUACGGCCCAGACUCCUACGGGAGGCAGCAGUGGGGAAUAUUGGGCAAUGGGCGAAAGCCUCGACCCAGCAACGCCGCGUGAAGGAAGAAGGUCUUCGGAUUGUAAACUUCUUUUAUGAGGGACGAAGGACGUGACGGUACCUCAUGAAUAAGCCACGGCUAACUACGUGCCAGCAGCGGC
rnacentral:rRNA from 1 species